CUAUAGCUCAGCUUGGUAGAGCUAUCGGCUGUUAACCGAUCGGUCGUAGGUUCGAGUCCUACCUGCGGA
rnacentral:tRNA from 1 species